AAUUCUCAACCUUCUUGGUUUUUAUUUAGAGACCAGCAAGGCUUGGACUUUGGAGGCUUUUGCCGGCAGCGUAUUGCAGCUGGCUCCUCUUAAAUGUAUUAGCGAGGUUCUCAUUGCUGACCUUUGGCGUGAUAAGUAUCUACGUCGCUGGUAUGGCUAUGACAUUGGGGCUCGCUUCCAAUCGUCUCUUUGAGAGACAACUUUGGGUCUCUCUUUACAAGGGGGCUCAGCUCACAACC
rnacentral:misc_RNA from 1 species